rnacentral:rRNA from 1 species
AAGACCUUGCGCUUUUGGAGCGGCCGAUGUCUGAUUAGCUUGUUGGUGAGGUAAAGGCUUACCAAGGCUUCGAUCAGUAGCUGGUCUGAGAGGACGGCCAGCCACACUGGGACUGAGACACGGCCCAGACUCCUACGGGAGGCAGCAGUGGGGAAUUUUGGACAAUGGGGGCAACCCUGAUCCAGCCAUGCCGCGUGAGCGAAGAAGGCCUUCGGGUUGUAAAGCUCUUUCAGCCGGAACGAAACGGUUACGGUUAAUACCCGUGACUACUGACGGUACCGGAAGAAGAAGCACCGGCUAACUACGUGCCAGCAGCCGCGGUAAUACGUAGGGUGCAAGCGUUAAUCGGAAUUACUGGGCGUAAAGCGUGCGCAGGUGGUUUUGUAAGUCAGAUGUGAAAUCCCCGGGCUUAACCUGGGAACU